rnacentral:rRNA from 1 species
AGUGAACGCUGGCGGUAGGCCUAACACAUGCAAGUCGAACGGCAGCACAGUAAGAGCUUGCUCUUACGGGUGGCGAGUGGCGGACGGGUGAGGAAUACAUCGGAAUCUACUUUUUCGUGGGGGAUAACGUAGGGAAACUUACGCUAAUACCGCAUACGACCUACGGGUGAAAGCAGGGGAUCUUCGGACCUUGCGCGAUUGAAUGAGCCGAUGUCGGAUUAGCUAGUUGGCGGGGUAAAGGCCCACCAAGUCGACGAUCCGUAGCUGGUCUGAGAGGAUGAUCGGCCACACUGGAACUGGGACACGGUCCAGACUCCUACGGGAGGCAGCAGUGGGGAAUAUUGGACAAUGGGCGCAAGCCUGAUCCAGCCAUACCGCGUGGGUGAAGGAGGCCUUCGGGUUGUAAAGCCCUUUUGUUGGGAGAGAAAAGCAGCAGGUUAAUACCCCGCUGUUCUGACGGUACCCAAAGAAUAAGCACCGGCUAACUUCGUG